ensembl:lncRNA
AUGGAUGCCAAGAAGGGAGCUCUGCCUUACCCACCUCCCUUAGAUAAUGACAAUUAUUCAUCUUGGUCUGUAAAGAUGAAGGCCCUGCUGCAGAAUCAGAGGCUUUUUGAUGUAAUUGAAAACCCCAUCCCUGCAGCACCAACCGGAGGUUGGGAAUCACGGAACGUGAAGGACAGGGGGAGGGAAGAACAGAGUUCUAAUUUCCCCACUGCUGAAUCUACUGGAGAGCGUGUUGCAGCAUUGAGUGCCGUCCGAUGUCACAAUUGUGGACAGACUGGGCAUCUACAGCGGAACUGUAGGAAGCCGCGACAGUCAAGAGGAGCAAAGAGCAGCUCAACGAAGCCUGAGGCGUCAGGCAAAAGCCAUACCAAGUGCCAGGUGAAACCUGCAAAGGCUAUGAUGGUGAAAGGAACCACGCCAGAUGUUGGGAACGCAUUCAUAAUCGACACGGGAUGCACGAAACAUUUGUGCCCGCACCGAGAACUGUUUUCGACGUUGAAGAAGCAAAGCUUCACUGUGAAACAGGCCAACGGUCAGGAAUUGGAAGCGACCGGAAUUGGGACUGUGUAUCUUGAGAGUCUGAACUUGACUAUAAGUGAUGUUUACCUGGUUCCAGAACUGAGAUUUAAUCUGCUGAGUGUGUCGCAGAUUGCGAAGAAAGGACUGAAACUGUCCUAUGAUGCUAAAAGAUGCAAGAUCUACAAAGAUGGAGAACUGUUUCUUACUGCCAGAGAGAAAGAUGGACUGUAUUUGUUGACUUUUGAUCAAAGUGAUUACAUGAAAUGUAAUUCUUCUGAUUCUAACGCAAUUUCUCUUGCAGGUGUGACCAAUAAGAGCACCAGGAAGGUGACUAAGAAGGUCCACAAAGCAUUUCAGUGUUGGUGUAAAGCAGAGUCCCGUGCCCAGCGGAAGGAUGAGGAGUACGUACUACAUACUCUAUAUUGCUUUAUUUACAGUUCAAAGCUGGUAUAUUACAGAAAAACAUCUUGCCUCUGCCGGAGCAGGAAAAGCAUCCUCUCUCCUCGACAGCUUGGAGAGAAUCACCCAGUGAAAAACAGGAAACCAGUGUACGUCACAUCCAGUCUCCCUUUCCCGUGAGAAACUCCAACAGUACAGACUGUGGAAUGUAAACACCUGUCUCGUGACAAGCCCUUUCGCUGCACAGUGAAGGAAAGCAGAAACCAACAUCCUCCCCCUUUCUGUGAACAUCACUGGGCAGCGUGUUCAUACAAUAUCAGUACAAACCCAACUUCUGCACAAAGGUACAGUGUUGAUCCCUUGAUACAAUCUUGGACAAUACAUCAGCAGGAAUUUCAUUACCUGGCAUAUAGGACACCGUUACGAGUCCCUUCUGAAUACAUUCCUUAGCAUGCUGCAACUUUAAUUGCAAGUGCUUUGUGCUUUGCUUACAACCUUCAGACUUCAGCAAAGCCAAACAUGCUUUGUUGUCCUGGUAAACCUGGAUUGGACAUUUGACAGGAAUUUUCAUAUCUUUGCACAAUUGUACUAACCAUUCACAAUCUUUAAGUGAAUAAGACAGUGCAUUCAGUUCAGCUUCACAAGUACUUAAGCUAACUGUUGUUUGCUUCUUGCAUGACCAAUCAAACAGACCCUGAUUGUACAUGUAGCAAACUCCAGACGUACUUUUCCUGUCUGCAGUGUCACUUCCAAAACUUGCAUCUGCAAAUAUCUCAAGACCACCAGACUUCUGAUUGUUAAAUCUCAGUCUGUAAUGCAUAGUGCCUUUCAAAUACCGCGCUAUGCGUUUCAGAGCUUUCCAAUCCUUGACACUAGGAUUGUUGACUUGUCUGCUUAGCAAAUUACAGCUAACAGCAAUGUCAGGUCUUGAACAUCUGGCAAUGAAGUUUAGCUUGCCUAGCACACUUCUGUACUGUGUAGUGUCAGAAAAUGCUUCUUCAGUGUCAUCUAUCUGAUAACCUGUUGUCAUCGGUGUGUCUACAGGGUUAGCAUCCAUCAGGUUUAGUUUGCUUAACACAUCAGCAAUUUUCCGUGACUGGUGUACUAGAAUGUUACCAUCUUGAUCUCUCUCUAUUUCCAGAGAUAGGUAGUUGUUUACCUCACCAAGAUCUUUCAUGUCAAAGUGCUCUUUCAGUUGAGCUAGGGCGUUAUUGUACAUUGUGACAUCUUUCCAGAAGAAUAAUAAAUCAUCAACAUAAAACAAACAGUACAGUUUCUUUUGCCCCUCCUCUUUGACAAAUACACAUGGAUCAGCUUUCCCUUGCUGAAAACCUAGAGAAAACAAUACUUCAGUGAGUUUUGUGUGCCAACACCGUGCACUUUGUUUGAGACCAUAAAGGGAUUUCUUCAGAGCACAAACAAAUCCCUGUUUUACCUGUACGCCAUCAGGUGGAAGCAUAAAAAGUGAUUCAUUUAGAGAUCCGUACAGAAAAGCAGUAUUAAUAUCAUGGUGACUAAUGUGUAGAUUUUCCUCUGCAGCUAGCUUGAGCAUAAGCCUAAUGCUUUCAUACCUCACGUGGUUAUGGGCUCCAGAAGUCGAAUCGGAGUGCCGGCAAAGGAUCGGAAUGCAGAGGGACAGAUCGGAUCGGAAUCUGCUCUGCGCGUAAACAUGAUUGAUGAGGUAUGUGCUACUGCUCCGGGCAGCCUGCCAGCUUACAGUUAAUGGCUUUAUGGCUCUGGACUUUGAACUUUUAAAGCCGUUUUGCCGGGAAUAGGCAAAAGGCUCCCAGGCUACGUUACUAUGCUGGGGAAAUCGAAAGUAACUUUUAAGUGCGCUUUUGGAACAAAGCAGCUGCAGCAGUGACGCAGCAAGAUUUAAAGCAGCAUAUAUGACGCUGAAGGCUAAUGCCAGAGUCAUGAUGGCCCUUCAGGAUGCUUGUGGGAUUCCUAAGCUCAACAAGAAAAACUAUGCGGACUGGGUUCUGUAUGCAGAGGCAAUUCUGCGGAAAGAGGGUUUGUUUGCAGUGAUUACAGACACCCCCCCCAGCUCCAGUUACAGAUGAAUGGAGAGCUAAAGAUUCCAAAGCUAGGGGAACACUUACAUUGAUAGUAUCCCCAGAAGAGCUCUGUCUAUUGCGUGAUAAGACCUCAGCCAGAGAAAUUUGGCACGCUUUGAGAGAGGCUCACUUAA